rnacentral:rRNA from 1 species
UACGGAGGGGGCUAGCGUUGUUCGGAAUUACUGGGCGUAAAGCGCACGUAGGCGGCUUUGUAAGUUAGAGGUGAAAGCCCAGGGCUUAACCCUGGAAUUGCCUUUAAGACUGCAUCGCUAGAAUCGUGGAGAGGUGAGUGGAAUUCCGAGUGUAGAGGUGAAAUUCGUAGAUAUUCGGAAGAACACCAGUGGCGAAGGCGACUCACUGGACACGUAUUGACGCUGCGGUGCGAAAGCGUGGGGAGCAAACAGG